rnacentral:rRNA from 1 species
GACGAACGCUGGCGGCGUGCUUAACACAUGCAAGUCGAACGAUGAAGCCUAGCUUGCUAGGUGGAUUAGUGGCGAACGGGUGAGUAAUACGUGAGUGACCUACCUUUGACUCUGGGAUAAGCCUGGGAAACUGGGUCUAAUACCGGAUACGACCAAUCUCUGCAUGGGGUGUUGGUGGAAAGCGUUAUGGAGUGGUUUUAGAUGGGCUCACGGCCUAUCAGCUUGUUGGUGAGGUAAUGGCUUACCAAGGCGACGACGGGUAGCCGGCCUGAGAGGGUGACCGGCCACACUGGGACUGAGACACGGCCCAGACUCCUACGGGAGGCAGCAGUGGGGAAUAUUGCACAAUGGGCGCAAGCCUGAUGCAGCGACGCCGCGUGAGGGAUGACGGCCUUCGGGUUGUAAACCUCUGUUAGCAUCGAAGAAGCGAAAGUGACGGUAGUGCAGAGAAAGCGCCG